rnacentral:rRNA from 1 species
GCGCACGGGUGAGUAACACGUAUGCAAUCCACCUGUAACAGGGGGAUAACCCGGAGAAAUCCGGACUAAUACCCCAUAAUAUGGGCGCUCCGCAUGGAGAGUUCAUUAAAGAGAGCAAUUUUGGUUACAGACGAGCAUGCGCUCCAUUAGCCAGUUGGCGGGGUAACGGCCCACCAAAGCGACGAUGGAUAGCGGGGGAA